GAAAGCUAGCAAUCCCAUAAACCGUGGCUCAGUUCAGAUCGUAGGCUGCAACUCGCCUACGUGAAGUAGGAAUCGCUAGUAAUCGCAGGUCAGCAUACUGCGGUGAAUACGUUCCCGGGCCUUGUACACACCGCCCGUCACACCAUGGAAGUUGGCCAUGCCCGAAGUCGUUACUCCAACCCUUGUGGAGGAGGACGCCGAAGGUGGGGCUAAUGACUGGGGUGAAGUCGUAACAAGGUAGCCGUACCGGAAGGUGCGGCUGGAUCACCUCCUAA
rnacentral:rRNA from 1 species